ACGGGUGAGUAACACGUGGGCAAUCUGCCCUUCACUCUGGGACAAGCCCUGGAAACGGGGUCUAAUACCGGAUACGAGGACCAUGGGCAUCUGUGGUUCUGGAAAGCUCCGGCGGUGAAGGAUGAGCCCGCGGCCUAUCAGCUUGUUGGUGAGGUAACGGCUCACCAAGGCGACGACGGGUAGCCGGCCUGAGAGGGCGACCGGCCACACUGGGACUGAGACACGGCCCAGACUCCUACGGGAGGCAGCAGUGGGGAAUAUUGCACAAUGGGCGAAAGCCUGAUGCAGCGACGCCGCGUGAGGGAUGACGGCCUUCGGGUUGUAAACCUCUUUCAGCAGGGAAGAAGCGCAAGUGACGGUACCUGCAGAAGAAGCGCCGGCUAACUACGUGCCAGCAGCCGCGGUAAUACGUAGGGCGCAAGCGUUGUCCGGAAUUAUUGGGCGUAAAGAGCUCGUAGGCGGCUUGUCACGUCGGGUGUGAAAGCCCGGGGCUUAACCCCGGGUCUGCAUUCGAUACGGGCUAGCUAGAGUGUGGUAGGGGAGAUCGGAAUUCCUGGUGUAGCGGUGAAAUGCGCAGAUAUCAGGAGGAACACCGGUGGCGAAGGCGGAUCUCUGGGCCAUUACUGACGCUGAGGAGCGAAAGCGUGGGGAGCGAACAGGAUUAGAUACCCUGGUAGUCCACGCCGUAAACGGUGGGCACUAGGUGUUGGCGACAUUCCACGUCGUCGGUGCCGCAGCUAACGCAUUAAGUGCCCCGCCUGGGGAGUACGGCCGCAAGGCUAAACUCAAAGGAAUUGACGGG
rnacentral:rRNA from 1 species